GGCCCUAUCGUCUAGCGGCCCAGGACACCGCCCUCUCAAGGCGGAGACACGGGUUCGAAUCCCGUUGGGGCCACCA
rnacentral:tRNA from 1 species